CAAAAUAUUCUGUAGUAACUAUUAAAUUCCGGCCGAAAACAGUGCACGGUUUAAAAAAGAAUCAUUCCAAUGACGGUCCAUUCUUGCGGUCCUGAAAUCGCCACUAUUUCCGGCCUCUCCAACGCAACUCGUUGUCCAGACGUAAAUAUGCCAACUGCCGACCAUUAGCGUUACCAUAUUCUAGUUUGAACUAAAGUUUUGCUAGUCCCGACCACAUAUAGUAGGUUUUCUAGUAGAUAUACUAGAAAUGCCUACCAAAGUUCGUCCUACCCGUCACUCAAUAUACCCUGAUCCCUUUCGGCCCUUUUUUGAUGACCGUCCACAAGUGUCCGGUCUUAUUUGGCUAACUUAUGUUUCAGCCUGCCUGCUGUCGUGGAGCUGACGAGAAAUGCCAUUGGCACGACUUGGCAGCUGCAGGCUGUUCUUUCGGCACUUCCGGCUUCUUCAUCAGCCUGCUCGAGUGCGAUAGCAGCUCGUUGAUUUUCGGGCUCUUUCGGUUCUUCAUAUCGGCCUGCCCGAUUUCUUAGCAACUCCUGCAGAACUGAUUUUCGGCCUUGUUGGUUUCAGUCUCAUCUUUCGGCUCAUUUCAAUAUAUCUACUUUUUGUUCAUGUCUGUGUGCUGGUGGAAUGGAUAGUGUUAGAAGAAGAGGAAACACACACAUACCUACAUCGAUCUUGUUUUCAGUGCAGUAGUUAAUACCCCUAGACAACACAUAGAGUAAUAUAGUGAAGGACACAAUCCCCUAGACAUACCGGUUAAAUUAUAGCACUAUGUCAAACAUAUCCUCAUUUCAUAUUUAAAAACAUUUCAGCUUUUGAAAAGUUACAGUGCGCCAGACUGCAAACGCGUCAACACAGUCAGCAAGCCGCACAAGCUGGGGCGACAUGUCUGCUUCAGUCCUCUGAAAAUCUGCAACCUAUAUCAGCUGCACUGACUAGCAAGACCUACAUUUUUACCACAAGCUUUAUAUAUCUUCGCUGUUGAUAGGAAAUGCUGCAAUAUAAGACUUAAAAUUUAAGUCACAUGCUGACUUGCAGUCAGUGACUGCGUUAUGCCUCUGAAGACUGACUAUCUGUUCACCAUUUUCUUUGAGUAGAUAUGAUAUGCUAGUGCAGCAGAUCUGCAUUGUAUGAUGUUAUGGCCAGCAAUGCUCAACACAAAAAUGUUUACCUUUCUGCUGCAAAUCUAAGCCACCCUGUGCAGCUGAUGAGCACCUCUGCACUGGCAAUAUGUUAUCGGCAUUGCCGUAUGGGCUGUGGUUGGUGCCUUAAAAACAAUGGUCUACAUGUGAAAUUCCAAAAUUGUGAACCAUUUUAUAGCCUUACAGAUAUUGCAAUGUUUCUCUUGCCAUCUAAAUGGUUUGAAAUACCUAAGUCUUCAUUGACCUGGGUUUUAUGAGCAAAGAUGGUAAAUAAAUGCAUAUUUCGAACUGAGUACAGCGGUGAGCGAGUACUGAGUAGGAAAAUCCUUUCCUGAUGCGUAGUUACUUGGUUAUGUAGCCCAGGUAAUUUACUCAAGAAAAUGAUCAAUUAUUGUCUCUAUCUUUCAGGUUCAGUUACAUGUGCAACUCACAAGUGCUCAAAAAGGCUGCAAGAUGCCUAGCUAGCAACUGCUCCAACCAGUUUGAAGGAAGAAGGGGUGUGUUUCUCCACAGGUUUCCUCAAGGACAAGACCCAGGUGUGUACAGCGAAAGGACUGGCACAUUCAGGUGAAGAUGGACUGGUGGCAACAUGUGUGGGAAGGGGGCAAGCUUGGUCAUGCGGCACACUUCAUGAUGAGGGCUCCUUCGAUUGCACAGACCAGUUUGGCUGUGCUAUGGUGCAGUCCCAUCAGGUCUUUCUUCCCUGCUCACCUGCAGGACCAUUUCAAUAGCUGCCAGAGCAGCGGGGGCUGAAGCAAAGGCUAGAGGAAGCUGCGACUAGGACGUUGGCCUAUUCCAAGCAGUCUCGAAACGCACACAAGAACGGGAAAAUGUUGAUCCGGACAGCACGCCCCAGGGAGAGUCACUCGUCAGAGGCGGUCUCGACGGGCAGGCCGGGCGGUGCCCAGGGAGCAGCGUCACCCGUCUGUGGCUGCCCCGAUGGGCAGGCCGGGCGGCACUCCGGCAGCAGCUGCAUCCGUCUGUAGCGGCCCCGACAGCAGGCCGGGCGGCACCUUGGGAGCAGUGGCACACGCUUAUGUGUGGGGUGGGGUGACCCCGACGGCAGACCGGGCAACAGAGGCAGUCUACAGGGAAUAGCGGCACCCGUCUAUGGUGGCCCCGACGGCAGGUCGGACACCGAGGCGGCUCCCAGGGAGCAGCUGCACCCGUCUGUGGCGGCAUCGACGGCAGGACGGGCGGUGCUGAUGUCGUAGCGUCUAGUUUGCUGAUAAACGUUAGCGAUAUAGGCAUUAUCCUAGUCACCAUGCUCAGGCGCGUCGAUGAUAUGCUUGUGCUAGGAUAAGUUCAUCCUAGAAUUCUGACCUUACGUCACGUUGAUCUAAGAGGGCCGUAUAACUCAUUUCGAUUUUGACGGUCUUCAGUCCAUUGGUGACUGUCCCGACUCGCCAGCUCAAUUUAAUCGAAUGAUUUACCUAAAACUCCGACUCUGGCUUUGUGACGUAAUCUUUGUCGCUAAAGUAAACGGUGCAAAAGUUAAAAAUUGGUUUACAAGAUGUGUUUUAUCUCAUGGUUUCGUGCGUUUGCAUAAUCUUCAAUCAUUUUCGGCACCAAUAUAGCAGUUACCACCUUUUCCCAUUGACUUGUGACGGCGAUGUCACGUGACUGACCUGACCUCAGGUGACCAUCAGGAAAAAUAUUAGAUAUACAAGCUAUAAGGCCUCUGGAGGGUACAAGGUUAUGUUAGUUUGAUCUCCCUGUGAAAGCUCCUCUGGCACUGAAGGCAUUGCGAAGUUGCGGCAUGUCAUGACCGCGCGGUGGCUCUAUUAUGACGUCAUAGGUCAGUGACCGGGCAUGACCUGAAAGGGUGAUUAAUGUCAUAAGAUCCGGAUUUAAUGAAAGGUCAGUUGUACCAA